rnacentral:misc_RNA from 1 species
UUGCUCUCGGCCUCGGUGAAC